CAGUUCAGAUUGCAGGCUGCAACUCGCCUGCAUGAAGUCGGAAUUGCUAGUAAUCGUAGGUCAGCAUACUACGGUGAAUACGUUCCCGGGCCUUGUACACACCGCCCGUCAAACCAUGAGAGUCGGGAACACCCGAAGUCCGUAGUCUAACCGCAAGGAGGGCGCGGCCGAAGGUGGGUUCGAUAAUUGGGGUGAAGUCGUAACAAGGUACC
rnacentral:rRNA from 1 species